rnacentral:lncRNA from 1 species
AAAUCUUGAAAAAAUUAACCGAAACUUGGUCUGCGUCCGGCUGAAGCAACGACACCUGAGCAGCGAUGACACUUAACUGACUCGUUUCUCGACAAUGCAAGUGACCGUUGUGACAAUCCAGUCAUUAUUAUAAAUCCAUCCACCGCAUGUUCAUUCACCACUAUCGAAACCAAAAAAGGCUGUUCUCCGGCAAGCUUAUUGAACCAAGGAUAAUAAGGAGACAUUCUGGUGUAAAUGGUUGGUUGGAAAUUGUUUCCACAACUGGCAUUCUUGGACAUGAUUCCAACCACUCCCACUGUUCCACUGAUGUUUUUGUUUUGCACCAAAGGCGAACCUUCGUCGCAAUGGCAGGGGCUUCCAGUAUCUAGUGACUCCUCCAGCGCAGAUCAUGUAAGCUGAGUAAAACUGAUCCGCGCCGUAAUCUCUGCAGUCUGUUCCGAAUGAAACUUGAAUGGAACGCAGCCCGGCAAUCACUAAACCACCUUCCUUGACUCCCCGUCCAAUGAAGGUGCCAUUGUCGGAAAGAGCUUCUUUCGCCUCACUGUGCGGGAUAAAGUUGACGUUGGUGCUAAAUUCGAUAGGUGGAGACGUCUAAGGAAAGCGCCAAUCAAUUGAACUUUUAGAUUAUGCCACAAGCAAUUUGAUGUCAGCCUUUACGUAUGUUUCGCGAGAUAGUAGCGAUGAUAACGAUGAUAACGAUCAGGCUGACUGCAUCUAGCGGGGAACUCGUGCGUCACGACUCACGCGAGAUCACUUUUUUACAAGGAUAGAUUGGAUAAAACUGGUUGCAAUCCAGCCGUAGUGGAUAUCCAAUUGUAGUAAGGUGACAGCCGUGUGAAAAUGGUCGGUUCAAUCGUUCCAGCUGCGUCGCAGCCCUUAUUCCUCGACAUGACUCCAACAACAAAUCCAUUCUGCAUCAAAGGUGAUCCUUCGUCAUAGUAACAUGGACUUGCAUGGUCUAGUUCAUCUAUGGUGCAGUCUUUAUCCUUGACCAGGCAAUAUCAUGGCUGUGACGCUGAGUAGGAACUGAUAGCGCUUAUCAAGCAACACAACAAAUCAAAUUGAAGAUG